AGUGAACGCUGGCGGUAGGCCUAACACAUGCAAGUCGAACGGCAGCACAGUAAGAGCUUGCUCUUACGGGUGGCGAGUGGCAGACGGGUGAGGAAUACAUCGGAAUCUACUUUUUCGUGGGGGAUAACGUAGGGAAACUUACGCUAAUACCGCAUACGACCUACGGGUGAAAGCAGGGGAUCUUCGGACCUUGCGCGAUUGAAUGAGCCGAUGUCGGAUUAGCUAGUUGGCGGGGUAAAGGCCCACCAAGGCGACGAUCCGUAGCUGGUCUGAGAGGAUGAUCAGCCACACUGGAACUGAGACACGGUCCAGACUCCUACGGGAGGCAGCAGUGGGGAAUAUUGGACAAUGGGCGCAAGCCUGAUCCAGCCAUACCGCGUGGGUGAAGAAGGCCUUCGGGUUGUAAAGCCCUUUAGUUGGGAAAGAAAAGCAGCAGGUUAAUACCCCGCUGUUCUGACGGUACCCAAAGAAUAAGCACCGGCUAACUUCGUG
rnacentral:rRNA from 1 species